rnacentral:lncRNA from 1 species
CCAUGCCUGAGAGCCUCUCUCUCUUCUUUUUUAUCUUGCUGAAAUUGAAUUUUCAUAAGAAGGAUCUUAAAGAAGGCUCUCAUCGUGCUGCUAUUCUCAAGGCAUUAAAAACAUCCUCCAGCAAGCAAAGAUUCCGCAAGGGAGCUAGCACCCCGCAGAACCAAUUGAUUGCAAAUCAACCCUCCAACUUUGUGUGGAUACCUAUGGAGGCCAGGCACUUGU